AAAGGGGUAAAUUAAUUAUUAAUUUAAAGGAGCCAUGUUAAUGUGAUCGUUUAUGAGAGUUAGUUUAUCUGACAAAAAGGAGUAUUCUGACUUACGUCAUGGGCUGAAAUAGCGCCAUCUACGCUUUCCUAAUUCCGACAUAGCAGUAGCAACGAAUUGGAUGUUCGCACCGAAAUCUUGUCCUAAAUUACACCUGUUAUUGAUACGAAGCCAACCCGUUUGCAACAAUAAGGAGGCAAGAAGUUUUCACGGAGCAAGUGUGAUGGAAUUAGUUGACAUAGAAUAAAUUAGCAAGUCAACCCUACUACGACUUUUCAUUGACUGUUUCUUCA
rnacentral:lncRNA from 1 species